ACUGAGAUGAGGUCUGAAUUCCUAACCUCUAUAUUGUUCUACCCAUUGGCAGCGGCCUGGAUACAAAGGUUGAGGUGCCGGUGUGAAGUGCACGUAGUGACGGAGUUUCUUUGCUCAUUCUAUUUGGAGACAUCAAUUCCAAGGGUGGUGGCAUCGAUUUUUCUAUAAUACAGGCACGUUGGGUAUUGCUUGUGCGAAGUGAUAUAUAUAUUGGCUACAAGCAACCCAUUCGUCGAACUGUUUUCUUACUGUUAAUUAGUUAUGGUUUAUCAUUCCAUUAUGAAAUCCCUAAUCAUGUGUGCAGAUUUUUGUUUUACUCGGCAGCUAUGUGAUUGCUUCGAUGUCCGUACUGACAAGGAAUUUUCAGAAUACUAACUAUCAACAAUCUGGAGGUUUCGGUGGUGCUUUAGAGUUGUUUAUCUCUUUUACUUUUGGAGAUUGGAUCUUGAGUAGUACUUCACGGUUUUAAUGUAGAGCCAUUUUACAUUCACUGCAACAACAUAGUGAGUACGCGACAAUUGUAUUUCCUGUCAAUAUUUGUUGAAGGGAAUAUUCAUGGGGAGAUAAUCAAAUGCUAGCUGAGGUAAACCGAAUUGAUAUUUUGUAAUGAUGUCUUGUGAGAACCGUUUAGAAGCAUCACUUGUUGUAAGAUAUGCAAAAUUUCUGUUUUAAAACACUUAUUUCAGAGUAUCUGUUUUGUUGCGCUCUUUUGGCAAGUGAAAAACUCCACAUAGCUUAACAUUAUUUACCGCUGGAGAUUUAGCUUAUUUUCCCUUUUUCAAAUAGAGAUUUAGCUUUUUUUCAUGGAUGCUAGACAUUUUCGAAAUGGAAUGAUCUUCUUUUAUCUCAUAUCUCCCUCGAAUUAUACCUGACACGUAGGUGUUUUAUAGACGCUCCUAUUAAUGCACGAGUAUUUGCAACUAUUUUCCGUGGGAAUUUACAUCGAAAGUAAUAAGUAUUGCUUGUGUUAUGAAAGUGUCAAGGAAGAAUUACUUCGCUUUUCCGAAUCUUUGGUUUCCUCCGGAGUUCACUAAAGGGGCUUCAAAUAUUUCUUUCUUCUUAAAUCUGAUACAGGAGAUAUUGACUGAAGGAAUAUGGCUUUCCAGCGACCAACAACUACAAUGAGAUUCUCAAGCAUGGCACCCCUUAUGACAGGUACAUGUAUUUAGCUUGCAGAACACAGAUGCAUUCACGAUGGAAGCCACUAACUCGGUGUGUUUCUAUUCAAGUCUUUCUUUAAAAAUGCAGGUUUUCUUUCCUUUAACCAUGAUGUCUGUUGAAGUUUCAGAGUCAAUUUCUCUUUCUCGGGAUUUGAGCAAAGUACAAGAUGCAGUUGUCUCCAGUUUCAGGAUUAUUGAUAUGAUAUCCAAGACUGAAGUAGCUCUGAGGUAGGAAGGACACUAGACACAGUUGAAGGGAAUACAGAGUUGCAACACAAGAGCUUCAAGUACCCUCCUUGGACCGACGUGCAAAUCUUCGGAGAUUUGUGUUUGAGGAUGCCAUCUGGCAAGCUAAAGAAAAGUUUCUACAAACUAAUAUUCCGGCACGGAGCAAGUACAGACUAAUAUUAUCUCUCAUGACUCAGACGAUCUGUAUCCAACGAAGCAACCCGGGUUUCUAAAAGCUAAGGUGAUGUUUGAAUUCAUAGCCAUGGCAAAUUAUACAUGGUAAUUCUGCUUAAUAAUUUAGUGAUGUCUAACUAUGAAGUGAACAUUUAGUUACUGGACAUUGCAUGCUAUUGUGAACAUGUAGUAGCAUAAUGAUUUCUUACAGCCUAGAAUACUUUCAAUGGAAAGUAACUUCCUUGUAUAUCCAUUUUCAACGAUAUAAAUUUAUAAUAUUUCCUUAGAAAAUAUUCUCCAUUUUGUAAGGUAUUUUUUAUUCUCUUCAAAACAAAAAAGACUGACAUUGAUGUGUUUGUUUUCUAGGUGGUUCUGCUUGUUUCAGCUCCAGAUCAUCUAAUACAAUGUGAUUUUUGUAGAUUGGCUUAUGCUCUUUACGGUGUUUACCAUGGUAGGCUAAAGGCUUAUUCUAAUCUACGAUGAGUUUCUUACCAAUCUGGUAUCCUUGCUUAACAACUUAUCCUACUGCAACAUCCCCUCUUCUUCUGGAUAAUUUAUGAAAUAUGACCGGGCCUGGCUGCCCAUGGCCAGGUAUACUCUACGCGCACUUCCUUCGAGGAGUACAUCACCCCCAUGGUAAAUUGAUUUGUCUGCUCCAGCUAAUGCGUGCAUGCCCUUAUGUUGGUUCUCUGGACCAAUUCUUCCAACUAAUAUAUAGAUGAAAUCAUAAAAAAAUCAAAUAUUUAUUGGUUUUAAAAAACAAAAUCUCUUUUGUUUUCUGAUAUCUUGCAUUUUAAAGGACGAAUAUGUGAGUGCUGAAAUCUUAAUCGGUUCUUAUUAUUUGUGCAGUGUGAUCCCAAAGAAGCACUAGACCUUGUUCAUUUUGUAAAUGUUGUUUAGUGUGUUAGGCUAACAUGACCUACUAACAUCGGUGAAGUUUUCGUUGAUUUAUGUAUUGGCAUUUAUCUGUAUUUAACAGUUGUAGCCUUGCAGGUGU